CCCUUUUACCUCUGUGGACUAUAACUGGACCCCUGGGUUGGGUACGACUUUGGAGACUCUCCCCAACACAACAAGACGGAUCCCCAUCAUCCAGACCAGUGAGGACCUCGCCUGUGUUGAUGGGACCCUGUGAUUGCUGCUGAGGAUCCCAUGACUCGAAUACUCUCCAGCCGGCACCAAAGGAUUCUUGGGGUGCUCAUUGGCGCUGCGACCCUCUGCCGCUCACAACGUCCCCUGGAGAGAGAGGGACUGCAUUUUAGGGGGAUGCACUGGUGAGCCAAGAG